GGUAUAGCGUCUGGUUUUGUCACACUGGAGGUAGAGCACUGAUUAGGCUAGGGCCCUUCACCGGGUACCAACCCUAGACAAACUCCGAAUACCAGUGAUGAGCCGCCAGGCAGUCAGUCGCAGGGUGAUAACGUCCUGUGGCGAGAGGGGAACAACCCAGACCACCAGCUAAGGUCCCUAAAUACCGACUAAGUUGAUCAAAGAAAGUUGAGUUGCUCAGACAACUAGGAGGUUGGCUUAGAAGCAGCCAUUCCUUUAAAGAGUGCGUAAUAGCUCACUAGUCAAGCGACUCGGCGUCGAUAAUAAUCGGGCAUAAGUCGGUUACCGAAGCUGUGGGAUUUAACGAUCGGUAGGGGAGCAUUCCAGUCAGCGCAGAAGCAGCGCCCGCGAGGGGCCGUGGAGCGGCUGGAAGCGAAAAUGUAGGCAUGAGUAACGAUAAGAAGGGUGAAAAACCCUUCCACCGUAAACCCAAGGGUUCCUGAUCAACGCUAAUCGGAUCAGGGUUAGUCGAGACCUAAGGUGUACCCGGUGAGGCCGGGGAAGCCGAUGGCAAAGCGGUUAAAUAUUCCGCUACCGAAGCCAGCGUAUGGCUAAGGCGUGACGCAGAAGUGACACUCCCGCGUGCUGACGAAUGCACGUUAAAGGGCGUAGGCCGGGGGGCAGGCAAAUCCGCCUCCCGUUAAGGCUGAACCCCGACAGUACUCGGAUUCUCACGAUGAAGAGAUAGUGGAGGUAAUCAUGCUGCCAAGAAAAGCGUCGUAGUUUGCUGGUUCUCGCUCGUACCCCAAACCGACACAGGUGGGUGAGGAGAGUAUCCUCAGGUGCUCGAGUAAUUCAUGGCUAAGGAACUAGGCAAAUUCGAUCCGUAACUUCGGGAGAAGGAUCCCCUGACUAUGUCAGGGCGCAGUGAAAAGGCCCAAGCGACUGUUUACCAAAAACACAUGUCUCUGCUAAGCCGUAAGGCGCGGUAUAGGGACUG
rnacentral:rRNA from 1 species